UGCGUCCGGUGUGUUCGUGCGCGUGAACGUGCUGGAGACGUUCGGACUGGACACGUUCAGCUCGGUCGUUGGCUGGUGCUACUUCGUCGCCUGGACCAUCUCGUUUUACCCGCAGAUGUACAUCAAUUGGAAACGGAAAAGCGUGGUUGGGCUCAAUUUCGACUUCCUGGCUUUGAAUCUCGUCGGAUUCACAUUCUACUCCGUAUUCAACUGUGGCCUGUACUUCUCCAGCGGGAUACAGGACAUGUACUACAAAGACCACCCGUACGGUCUUGUGCCGGUGGCGGUCAACGAUGUCGUGUUCGCCCUGCACGCUCUCUGCGCGUGCAUCAUCACCGUGCUGCAGUGCCUCAUCUACGAGCGAGGGGACCAGCGGGUCUCCACGGCAGCCAGAGGUCUUCUGGUGAUCUUCGCCGUCGUGAUCAUCAUCACCGCCAUCAUCACGGGUUGCGGAGUCGUCAACUGGCUCUGGUUCCUCUACGUGUUCUCCUAUGUGAAGCUGGCCAUCACCAUCGUCAAAUACGUGCCACAGGCGUAUCUCAACUACCGGCGGAGGAGCACCGAAGGCUGGGCGAUCGGCAACGUGCUGCUGGACUUCACGGGCGGCUCGCUCAGCAUCCUGCAGAUGUUUGUGGACGCCUAUAAUUAUGACGACUGGACUUCGAUAUUUGGGAACCCGACCAAGUUCGGAUUGGGGCUGUUCUCGGUUCUGUUCGACGUCCUGUUCAUGUGUCAGCACUACUGUUUAUACUCGUCCCGCCGGUCGGAGCUGUUGGACUCGGAGCGCACCGGUGACUCGUCUGCCGGUGGCGGGACGGACUUCAAGCUCGAGUCAGAUCGACGAUUCUAGGGCCGGCCGCCGCGCCGGCUCCACUGACGGGCCCCGCUCGGGGUGAGCCUCGUGCAGUCUUCGCCGGCCGAGAGAAGGGUGGACCGGCACGCGGCGGAGCGCCGCACGUGGGGACCCGUUGUGUCAGCGAGGGAGGCGGGUUGAGUUUCACCCCAAGAUCAUCGAGGCCGCCUUCCAUAAUCAGGCGUUUCUAGUCCGCAGUUGCUGAAAUAUGUACAGUUGCAUCAAGACUGUGUACCGGGUCGACUAACUCACGCGGUGUACACAUCCCAUGCUCUUCCAGUUUCCACAUAAUGGAUCAAUUGUCUUAGGAACAGAAGCAAACGAAGUUAGUGUGAUUAGAGGUUCGGACGGCUUGGCGUUGCUGUAUUUAAAUGGCACGGUGAAGUUAACAUAGGCUCCAGCAGAGACACAUGAGCGACCUUCGUGGGAGCAUCACAAACAUCGCUGCUCUGUGCCGUGGCUGAUAAGAUUUGAAUUUCGGCAGAUGGUGACUGGCGUUAAUGUGUUGACUCGUAAUCGUCUCACUAUUACAGAACACAUUGUCACUGUGAUGUUACAAUGAACGUUCGGGUACAGCACCUGCUGAGUGGCGUAUGGGUGGCCAGCUUUGUAUUUGCUGUGUUGUUGCCGGCUGCUGGCGUCCGAGAUGGAUGGUGAGAGACUGCUGCGUGCAGCACGGCAGGCGGCCGCUGCGACUGCGGCUCUGGCGGGAUCAGGCGCUGUAGGGCACCGCUGGUGUCAGGGAACCAGCCUCCUUGGGGUGCCACUGGCGUUAGGGAACCAGUCUGCGGGGUACCGCUGGUGUCGGCGGACGAGUUGCUGCAGUGUGGCUUUACUGCCAGGGUUUGUGUUCCCGGGAGGUAGCCCUGGUGCCACAUGGUCAGUCGUUGUGUGUAGUGGUGUCGUUGGGAGCAGCCGAUGUGAAGUGCUGAUGUACAAGGAUCAACAUGCGUGAGGCAGCGCUGGUGUCACGGGUCAGUCGCCAUAGGUGACGUUUGCUUCACACCUGAUGGGAUCGGCCCGCUCAGGUGGCGCCUUUGCCACUGGAUUGCCCGCCGCCGGGCGGCAAAGGUGUCACGACCUGGCCACACUUCACGACCCGUCGGCUGGUCGGCACUCGCUCCCACCGCGUACGUGGUGACAAGAGGCGUCAAUGGAGGCUACCAUGCCGCGAUUUGGACGAGUGUAUGGGAAAAUGCUAAGAGAAGCACGUUGGUUUCCAGCAGUUGCGGUUAUUUACGGGCGGACCAUGCAUGGGCGAGAAGGUAGUGGGCCAGUUGAGAAUGAGCUGCCUGAAAAUCUGGCCGAAUCCCGAGUCACCUGGUCGACGACUCCUGGUGACGCCAGUGUUAAAAGAAGGCCUAAAACUUUGUUGGUACGUGAGUGAUUUGACAUUGGUGGUCGAGCGUAUAUAUAUGGUACUCAUGGUA
rnacentral:misc_RNA from 1 species